ACACCGAUCUCUCCCUCAUUGCUUCCAGGUUCCUGCUGUGAUGAUCCAGAAGACCAUUGGAAGUCAUCAUGAGUGAGGAGAUGGCAGUGUUUUCACUCUGCCAUUAUGGUAAUUAGCCUAAUUGUGCUUAAUUAGCUCUGCCACACGCAUCAAAUAAGAGUCUGUUGGGCUCUUGGACGGUGCCGGUGACGCCGAUCUCUCCCUCUCUGCUUCCAGGUUCCUGCUGGGACCAUCCAGAAGAACAUUGGAGUCCAUCAGGAGUGAGGAGGUGGCAGUGUCUUCACUCUCCCAUCAUGGUUCCUGCUGGGACCAUCCAGAAGAACAUUGGAGUCCAUCAGGAGUGAGGAGGUGGCAGUGUCUUCACUCUCCCAUCAUGCUGGAUCUUCCGUCUCCUCUCCGACGUUCCUUGGCUCGUCCUUCCCAGUACACCCGCGGCGUUGGACUGGGGACACUGGGAGGAGGGCGGCUGGUGCCGAUAUCUUAAUAAACUGCUUUCCCGGUG